rnacentral:rRNA from 1 species
GACAAACGCUGGCGGCGUGCCUAACACAUGCAAGUCGAGCGCGAAAGGGACCUUCGGGUCCCCUGAGAGCGGCGAACGGGUGAGUAACACGUGGGCAACCUGCCUCAAGGACUGGGAUAACUCCGGGAAACCGGGGCUAAUACCGGACGAUGUCGUCUCGUGCAAGCGAGCCGACCAAAUGGUAGCUUCGGCCUCCGCCUUGAGAUGGGCCCGCGUCCUAUCAGCUUGUUGGUGAGGUAACGGCUCACCAAGGCUACGACGGGUAGCUGGUCUGAGAGGAUGAUCAGCCACACUGGGACUGAGAUACGGCCCAGACUCCUACGGGAGGCAG